UAUCCAUGUUGUGGACAUCUCCUCAAAAAAUCCUUGUACCUUUCCCAACAUUCAAAUAACUAUUCAUCCAGUUGUUGAGAAAAAAGAAACAUUUUCAUACUUCACUUU